UACGUAGGGGGCAAGCGUUGUCCGGAAUCAUUGGGCGUAAAGAGCGUGUAGGCGGUCCGGUAAGUCCGCUGUGAAAGUCGGGGGCUCAACCCUCGAAUGCCGGUGGAUACUGUCGGGCUAGAGUGCGGAAGAGGCGAGUGGAAUUCCUGGUGUAGCGGUGAAAUGCGCAGAUAUACGGAGGAACACCAGCGGCGAAGGCGGGUAGCUGGGCCAACACUGACGCUGAUGUGCGAAAGCUAGGGGAGCAAACGGG
rnacentral:rRNA from 1 species